UCUCUUCAACAGUGGCCUGACACAAUAGCUAAGUGGGAUCAAACUUGAAGCCAGCCAUGCAGUGAAAGUGGGAAUUAGAACUGUUGCCCUGACUAGUAGUCAGUAUGCUUCUACCAUUCCACACCACCUUCUGAAAGAUAGGCACGUAUGUAGGUUAUGAAUGGGAGGGUUACUAUUACUCCAGGGUUCCUGUUAAACAUAUAUCAUGUUGUAGAGCAUAGACUCUUCUUCCCAAACAAUGCAUGGCCAAAGUGCUUCCUGGGUGUUGGUGAGGAACUGAGAGGAGGGAGCAAAAAAGAGAUGUGGCUCAGUUUGGGAUCUCCCAAUCAGACAAGGGCCCUGAAAUCAAGAGAAAGACAACAGAGAGUGUUCCUUGUUCUGAAGAGGAGAAACAGUAAAAAAUUUGCCAAGGACCCAAGAUAGAAGACUGUGGGCCCAGAUCCUAAUGUAAAAGAAGCCUGCCUCAACUUAAUUUUCCUGGACAGCAAGAGCUAUGAAAAUGAACUGGGUGAAUAUUGGUGUUUUCAGCUUGAGGUUCCAAUGAAUUAGGACAAUCAGAAGGAAGAGUUUAAUUUUGGGGUCUAGCAUGUUCGGCUUGAUGCUAAUAGACUGAUUUUGGAAGGCAGUU
rnacentral:lncRNA from 1 species